rnacentral:rRNA from 2 species
CCUGGUGAUUCUAUCAAGAGGGCCACACCCGUUCCCAUCCCGAACACGGCAGUUAAGCCUCUUAGAGCCGAUGAUACUCUUUCAGGGGAAAGUAGGUCAUCGCCAGGA